CAACAGGCUUUCAAGCCACAUAACAUUUUAAAUAAAUAGAAAU
rfam:Chelonia mydas contig230047, whole genome shotgun sequence.